rnacentral:tRNA from 1 species
GCGCCCGUAGCUCAACUGGAUAGAGCACCGGUCUUCGGAACCGGGGGUUGGGGGUUCAAAUCCCUCCGGGCGCGCCC